GAUGAACGCUGGCGGCGUGCUUAACACAUGCAAGUCGAACGGAAAUAUCAUGUGAGCGUAACUUAGCUUGCUAGGAAACAAUCUUUUGAUAUUUUAGUGGCGGACGGGUGAGUAACGCGUGGGUAACCUGCCGUAUACAGGGGGAUAACACUUAGAAAUAGGUGCUAAUACCGCAUAAGCGCACAGUGUCGCAUGACACCGUGUGAAAAGCCGAGACGGUAUACGAUGGACCCGCGUCCGAUUAGCUGGUUGGUGAGGUAGUGGCUCACCAAGGCGACGAUCAGUAGCCGGCCUGAGAGGGUGAACGGCCACAUUGGGACUGAGACACGGCCCAAACUCCUACGGGAGGCAGCAGUGGGGAAUAUUGCACAAUGGGGGAAACCCUGAUGCAGCGACGCCGCGUGAGUGAAGAAGUAUUUCGGUAUGUAAAGCUCUAUCAGCAGGGAAGAAAAUGACGGUACCUGACUAAGAAGCCCCGGCUAACUACGUGCCAGCCGCCGCCGUAACAC
rnacentral:rRNA from 1 species